UACGUAGGGUGCAAGCGUUAUCCGGAAUUAUUGGGCGUAAAGAGCUCGUAGGUGGCCUGUCGCGUCGGCUGUGAAAACUCGGGGCUCAACUCCGAGCUUGCAGUCGAUACGGGCAGGCUAGAGUUCGGCAGGGGGAGACUGGAAUUCCUGGUGUAGCGGUGAAAUGCGCAGAUAUCAGGAGGAACACCGGUGGCGAAGGCGGGUCUCUGGGCCGAUACUGACACUGAGGAGCGAAAGCGUGGGGAGCGAACAGG
rnacentral:rRNA from 1 species